rnacentral:lncRNA from 1 species
UAGUAGGUACCAAACAAUCAUAUCACUUCAUAAAAGCAGACCAUGGUAAGCAUAACAUUCUUCAAGUGGCAGCAAUACAGGGAAACUGUCCUAGCAUGGAGUAGGCAGAGAAAGAAAUUGAACACUGCCUGAUAACAAGAAAUCCGACCACUGGAUUCCAGUGUCAUCCUCAUCUAGCCUGACUACCCUCUCGGUAGUUAUACAAUUUGAAAUUCACUAGUUUUGCACCAAUCGACAAUCCGUAUUGCAGUAAGAACUAAGAACCAAACAUUACUUGUUUGUACAUCAUGACCAUCAAACUAUGUUAUAGAGAGGAGAAUUGCUUAGCAAUACCAGUAAACGGCACAUACUUCCCCCACAUGCUUGGCAUCACCGAGCAUGCAGACCCGCAUCUUGGGGGGCGGGACGCCGGACUGCCUUGCCUGCAUAUAUGAGCAUAUAGGUUAAUUAAAAUAAACCAUUUGAUGUGGACAUUUAUGUGCUUAAUUACUAGAUGGAUGUCAAAGUUAGAUCAAAUCUGCUUGUUAUCCAAGAAAUGCUAUACUGGACUGUUGAACGCAUUCUGAAUUCUGACUAUGUAAGGGCAUCGGUUGAUUUGCCAGAUGAGAUAAACACUAUCAAGUCUUAACAGUUUACAAUCAUAAAGAAAUUCCUGCACUUUUGGCCCUUAAUCACAUAUCAAGAUCACAAUUCAUAUGAAAAGAAAAAUUGUAGUUCGGUGUAGAUAUCAGUGUGAUGUUACAGAAAGGGUAAGAAUACUCAAAAGCAGAAAAUGCUACCCCUUCCCGUCCCAUAAUAUAAGAGUGUUUUUUACACUAGUGUACUGUCAAAAAGGCUCAUAUAUUAUGGGGCGGAGGGAGUACUGGACAAGUAACAACAGAUGGGCUGGCACGCGCAGGAAAAAAGAGGUCAAUGGGGUGUAACUGAUCAUCAAGUGCGACAGAGAUUAUAAAGCAUUUUACAAGCAAAUAGACAUGCUGGGUUUCCCUACUCAAUUUAACUUCUAUCGUUGCAGGACUCAAUGUGACAUACUGUUGCCACGGCUCGAUGGCCAUGGGCACACAAAGCAUAAGAGAGGGCAGAGGAACAGGAACCGAGUGGUUAUGUAUGCAUGAGGAAGUAGUGGCUUGAGGCAGCCAGUAAGAGCAUACAUGUGGAUAAGCUCUUGGCAGACAUUAGGAGCAGUAGGCGUUGGUGAGCACCACCUGGUCAACCGCCUGGCACUCGUGAACCAGCUUCUGCUCCGGGCUGCAAGCACACAACUACAGAGUCAUAUCACCAGCUAAAGCACCAACUCACGACAGAAUUCAAACAUCAAGACAAGGUAAAAUCUAAGGGAUCAAAAGCUGAAGAAAAAUAUAAGAUUUACCAUCUUCCAGACAUAGGUUGCAAUCUUUGUUUCUCUCCAAUUUAACAACAAAUCUAAUCAGUCAGCAGGAUGGUAUGAAAGUAGCAUCCUAGCGAACUUCCAGUAUUUUGCAUCAUAUCUAAUCAGUCAUCA